rnacentral:lncRNA from 1 species
UAAGCAGGAGAAAAGAUUUAUUUACAUCUUUUGAGCAGUAACACGGCUGCAGCGAUUCACUGGGAAGAAACUCCAGGAAGAAGACUCAGCGUGACAUGCCAGCAGAGCCCCACACACAGGGAGACCCCCCUCCCACCACACAGUAUCUUGGGUCAGUACAAAAUUGCCAUCGCUUUACAAAAGGCAUGAGGUUCACAGUAAAGUACCAAAGGGGAGCGCGGCGGUGAGGAAAGACAAGGGACACGUGUCCCUGCUGGUAUUUGGUCUAUGAAAAUGCACCAUAGAACGACUCUUGUAGAAAAACUCUAUCCCAAAGGCUCAAUGCAUGCACAGUCGUGGGAUUUACACCUACUGUAGGACUCAAAGGCUUUAAAACAAGUGCUUGGGCGGCUCUCCUGGGGCAAAGGCAUCUGCGAGCCCUGUCCUGCCACUGGGCACUGCAUGGGGUGGCCUCUCUGCAGGAGGCACUUUGCAGCAGGGAUGGAUGAGACACAGGAGCAAGGAAAAGCAGGGAGCAGCCCCCCUGCCCAGCACUCGGCCCUGGCAGAGCUGCCUGCCAUGGCCAGGCUGCUUUUAUAGCCUAAAAUCCUCCCCCAACAUCAUCUCCUCCCCUCCUGCCCAUCAGUUCAAAGAAAACAGCGCACACAUUUUGGCUCUUUCUAGAUUUGUGUUUAAAAAAAGCCCAGACCUUCAUCUGAGGGUCAUGGGAAAAUCUUGCUUAAAUAGGAUUUCAUUGCAGGGUGGAAGAUUUGUGUCCUCCCAGCCCAGGAGCUCCAGGGGAAUGGAAAGGCCCUAGGGACAGCAGCGAAACCUGAUGGUCCCUCUGCUCCCACCAAUCCCAUCCGGAGUGGGAUGCAGAGCCUCACCUGCAUCAUCACCUUCACCCACAGGCAGGCAAUGAGAGGCAGAGAUCUCACUCAGCAGAUGCCUGGUGGCUUCAGGAGAGCACUAGGGCAAAGCUGCCUUUGUCAGAGAGGGCAAACAUCAGGGCGUCCUCCAACAGCAUGAGGAUGCGGGUGGCUCAGUGGGGAUAAAAGCCAUCCAGGGAUGUGUUGAGGUUUCACCUAUGCAUCCCUAAAAAAGCGAGUCAGCUCCACUUUCCCCUGCCAUGGGGCCACUCUCCAAAUGAAAAAUAGGAAUAGUGACACUUCAGCAAUGAAAACUUGCCUAGGCUACUCUAAUUCAUCAAAUGGGUGUUGUGGCCCAUUUGAUGAAUUUUCCUGCCCUCCUGCUGAGCCACCCAUGGCAGACUGCAGCUUCCUGCAGAAUUCCCGAAAACUGAUGCUAAAAUUCAGCUUUUUUUUUUUUUUAACCUUUAAAAAUACACAUUUUGCUUUAUUUUUCUUUAAAUAUAUAGUCUAUAAAAUAAGGCAACUUGAGGAGACAAAAAGAGCAUCCCCAUUGCUUAGGUACUGCAAUCCUACCACCAAGGAGGGUCACAGUACUUCCAGUUGAGACAAGCCACUCCAUCCAGCCACAAAGCUCCUGCACAUGAGAGAAGAGGAGCAAC